rnacentral:rRNA from 1 species
GACGAACGCUGGCGGCGUGCUUAACACAUGCAAGUCGAACGAUGAUGCCCAGCUUGCUGGGUGGAUUAGUGGCGAACGGGUGAGUAACACGUGAGUAACCUGCCCCUGACUCUGGGAUAAGCGUUGGAAACGACGUCUAAUACUGGAUAGGACUGCCGGCCGCAUGGUCUGGUGGUGGAAAGAUUUUGUGGUUGGGGAUGGACUCGCGGCCUAUCAGCUUGUUGGUGUGGCAAUGGCUCACCAACGCGACGACGGGUAGCCGGACUGAGAGGGUGAGCGGCCAUAGUGAGACUGAGACACGGCACGUAAUCAGACAGUAGGCAGCAGUGGGGAAAAUUGCACAAUGGGCGAAAGCCUGAUGCAGCAACGCCGCGUGAGGGAUGACGACCUUCGGGUUGUAAACCUCUUAUAGUAGGGAAGAAGCGAAAGUGACGGUACCUGCAUAAAAAGCACCGGCUAAGUACGUGCCAGCCGCCGCCGUAAGAC